CUUGUUAAUUUUUUUCUUUGGUUUGCAGCGUGUCGUCGGCGCUCGAUGGCGGCACUGUACUAUCGAUCUGGAGCGAUAUUUUGAGAUAUUAAUUGUGUUCGCGAGAAUGCUGCUCAGCGCAUUGGACACGGACACGAAAACGAUUUUUUUCGCGAAUUCCUGGUAGCUCUUUCCCUUUCCUCCACUGAUCGUCGCAAUGUGUCUCAGUUUUCCACUGGAUUGAUGAGUGAUUUCUUACUUGCUUGUCAUCAGACGAAAGGAACGACUUCUUCCAAACGAAAACUGUUGAUUGAUGAAUGAAAGAUCAUCUAGCAAGAACACCAUCUUAAACAAGAAUUUCCACGGCAGACUCGCACUUACCAGAAAGCUUAGAAGAAUUGCAAAUCAUAUUUUCCACGAGUUCUUCACUGGCACAUUGAUCGAAAAAUGGUCGGAUCAACGAUGACCACUAUCUUCUUCUUUGAAGAUCAUCAUCUCCAGGAAGGCUGCAAUCACUUCCACUGUAGAAUAAUCUUCAAAUGCGUAGCAUGAAGAUCCACAAGGAAACAUUGGGGAUCUGCAUGUCCAUAGGUGUUGUUCUUUUUUCUUUUUACACAAGUGUGAAACAGGAAUCAGUGCGUUCUUCA